rnacentral:rRNA from 1 species
GGGGAAUAUUGGGCAAUGGGCGAAAGCCUGACCCAGCCACGCCGCGUGAGUGAUGAAGGCCUUCGGGUCGUAAAGCUCUGUGGGGAGGGACGAACAAGCUGGGCGCUAAUCACCCCGGUCCUGACGGUACCUCCUUAGCAAGCACCGGCUAACCCUGUGCCAGCAGCCGCGGUAAUACAGGGGGUGCAAACGUUGCUCGGAAUUAUUGGGCGUAAAGGGCGUGUAGGUGGCUUUUCAAGUCCGGUGUGAAAUCCCACGGCUCAACCGUGGAACUGCAUUGGAAACUGGAUGGCUCGAGGGUUGGAGGGGGUCGCGGAAUUCCCGGUGUAGAGGUGAAAUUCGUAGAUAUCGGGAGGAACACCAGUGGCGAAGGCGGCGACCUGGCCAAUCACUGACACUGAAACGCGAAAGCGUGGGGAGCAAA